rnacentral:rRNA from 1 species
UCGCAAGACCAAAGAGGGGGACCUUCGGGCCUCUUGCCAUCGGAUGUGCCCAGAUGGGAUUAGCUAGUAGGUGGGGUAACGGCUCACCUAGGCGACGAUCCCUAGCUGGUCUGAGAGGAUGACCAGCCACACUGGAACUGAGACACGGUCCAGACUCCUACGGGAGGCAGCAUG